rnacentral:rRNA from 1 species
AUGGCUCAGGAUGAACGCUGGCGGCGUGCUUAACACAUGCAAGUCGAACGAAGCUAAGGGAGCUUGCUCCCAAAGCUUAGUGGCGGACGGGUGAGUAACGCGUGGGUAACCUGCCCUAUAGAGGGGGAUAACGUUCGGAAACGAACGCUAAUACCGCAUAAACCAUAAAGAGCUGCAUGGCUCUGAUGGCAAAGAUUUAUCGCUAUAGGAUGGACCUGCGUUGGAUUAGCUAGUUGGUGAGAUAACAGCUCACCAAGGCGACGAUCCAUAGCCGGCCUGAGAGGGUGAACGGCCACAUUGGGACUGAGACACGGCCCAAACUCCUACGGGAGGCAGCAGUGGGGAAUAUUGCACAAUGGGCGCAAGCCUGAUGCCAGCGACGCCGCGUGAAGGAAGAAGGUCUUCGGAUUGUAAACUUCUAUCAGCAGGGAAGAAUAAAUGACGGUACCUGACUAAGAAGCCCCGGCUAACUACGUGCCAGCCGCUGC